GGCCUUGUAGUUCAAUGGUAGAACGCGAAUCCCCAAUGUGCAUUGGUUGAUGAAAAGGAGGUUCGAUUCCUUCCAAGGCCA